rnacentral:tRNA from 2 species
UGGGGAAUAGUUCAAUGGUAGAACAGCGGACUCUGACUCCGUUAAUCUAGGUUCGAAUCCUAGUUCCCCAGCCA